GACGAACGCUGGCGGCGUGCUUAACACAUGCAAGUCGAACGGAAAGGCCCUGCUUUUGUGGGGUGCUCGAGUGGCGAACGGGUGAGUAACACGUGAGUAACCUGCCCUUGACUUUGGGAUAACUUCAGGAAACUGGGGCUAAUACCGGAUAGGAGCUCCUGCUGCAUGGUGGGGGUUGGAAAGUUUCGGCGGUUGGGGCUGGACUCGCGGCUUAUCAGCUUGUUGGUGGGGUAGUGGCUUACCAAGGCUUUGACGGGUAGCCGGCCUGAGAGGGUGAACGGCCACAUUGGGACUGAGAUACGGCCCAGACUCCUACGGGAGGCAGCAGUGGGGAAUAUUGCACAAUGGGCGGAAGCCUGAUGCAGCAACGCCGCGUGCGGGAUGACGGCCUUCGGGUUGUAAACCGCUUUCGCCUGUGACGAAGCGUGAGUGACGGUAAUGGGUAAAGAAGCACCGGCUAACUACGUG
rnacentral:rRNA from 1 species